UAGGGAAUCUUCCACAAUGGGCGCAAGCCUGAUGGAGCAACACCGCGUGAGUGAAAAAGGGUUUCGGCUCGUAAAGCUCUGUUGUUAAAGAAGAACACGUAUGAGAGUAACUGUUCAUACGUUGACGGUAUUUAACCAGAAAGUCACGGCUAACUACGUGCCAA
rnacentral:rRNA from 1 species